AAUUCAGAAUUUUCGAAGUGAUUUUACUUGGGACGUUUCACUUGCAGGUGACAGGCUAUACAACACAUGAGUAUAAAGAAGAAGUGAAAACAGGAGUGGCUUCGAAAGAGUUUCCUUGUGAAAAAGCAGACAUUUCAUAAUUUUUUUUAUAUGGAGCGUCUCUUGUUCUUCACUCGCGCAAGGUGACGCGUCACUUCGUAUUCACACGGUUGUGCGCUGCGACAUUUUUUAAGUAAAUAAAGCCAGGUUUUAUAACUUAUCUUAGCAAAUUCUGGUUCCGUUAUCCGAAAGUGGCCUAAUAAAAGGUUUUGUGCCAACAAAAAUCUAGCAAAGCAUCUUACACACAUUUCGAAAAGGCCAUACGACAAAUGAUUAUAAGGAACACGAGAAAAAGCGAACAUCCUGUACAAUUUUCUAUAUGGAGAGUCACUUGCUCUUCAAUCGUGCUCUGAUACGUCACUCCGGAUUUACAAGAUGAUUCACAAGUAAUACUUUUUUCGGAACUUAAUUGUAGGUAUGGAUGAAGCUAAGAAUCUACAUGCCAAGUUCCAACUUUCUAUAUUUAAUAGUUUCCAAGACUUUAGCGUUCAUACGGACGGACAAAGGGACAUGGUAGACAUGAUAGAUCGACUCGGCUAGUGAUCCUAGAUCAAGAGUAUAUACUUUAUGGGGUCGGAAAAACGUCUUUAUGGCAAAAUCAUCCACUUAAUUUUUGUAUAAAUUGUACUCUUAAUUUUUUUUUAUAAAAUCGGAAUUUUAUAAUGCCAUUGUUCAGCUUUAUGUCUAAUACUGUGUUCUAUAAGUUUGGAAGCAUUGAUGUUUUAGUCUAGCAAUGUUUCCAAAUUUAAAACGAAAUAAGAAGUAAAAUACAACUGAUUAAUUCAGAAAUCAAAGCACUAUAAUGCAUUUGAAUACUUAGGAUGGCCAAAACAAAUAUUUGAAAAGCAGAUACAUCUUUAAUGUUAUGUGUGUCGAAAGCUGUUGAUGUAUAUAAACUAACCAAACCCUUGCAGAGCGUAUAAUGAUUACAGUCAGAAGUUUACAACGCAGAGAAGGAGACGUUUCCGACCCCAUAAAGUAUAUAUAUUCUUGAUCAGCGUCACUAGACGAGUCGAUCUAGCCAUGUCCGUCUGUCCGUCCGUUUCUACGCAAACUAGUCUCUCAGUUUUAAAGCUAUCGGGCUGAAACUUUCCCAAAAGUCCUCUUUCUAUUGCAGGUAGUACAUAAGUCGGAACCAGCCGGAUCGGACAACUAUGUCUUAUACCUCCCAUAGGAACUUCGGGAAAAAAAUUUAAAAAAAGUAAAUCUGUGGUGUUUUUUAACAUAUAACCUUCUAAGCUUGGAAAUGGCAUUUUUUAAUUAGUUCUGAAAUUCGAAUUAAAUUUGAUCAAAAUCGGACGACUAUAUCAUAUAGCUGCCAUAGAAACAAUCGGAAAAUGAGUCGGAAAAUAUGUAAAAAUUAUAUCUUUGGUGUUUUUUAACAUAUAACAUUCUAAGCUUGGAAAUAACAUUUUUUAAUUAGUUCUGAAUUACGAAUUAAAUUUUAUCAAAAUCGGACGACUAUAUCAUAUAGCUGUCAUAGGAUCAAUCGAAAAAUUUGUGGGAAAAAAUUAUUUAAAAAAAUUUUAGCUUUGGGGCUUUUUGACAUAUCUUAUAAUAUUGGGAAUAUAAUUUGUUAUAUUUUUAAGAAUUUAGAAUUCAAUUUAAUACAAAUCUGACUACUUUAACAACAUACAAAAAUUCUGCAUUUGAAAUUUUUUUUUAAUAUCACUGAAGUCAGCAACAAUCCUUAAAAAUUUCAAAUGGUGUUACUAAAGUUGAUUAUUUCUUAUAACUGCAAGGGUAUACAAACUUUGGCUUGCCGAAGUUAACUUCCUUUCUUGUUUGAUCUAGAUCAAAAAUUAAGGACGUUAGCUGUCCGGUCAUGGACCCCGUUCAACAAAAAAGGGCCUACGAAGAAAUGCUGCGCAGCCGUCAUUUUGUUUUAGAUAUA